UGGUUGCCCCUUAAAUAAACUACCAUUCCACCCAAUAAUAAUUCCCCCUGCGGAGCCCCUCGCAGGCACAUACUCAAAUUGGUCCAAAUUCUUCCCCCCGAUUUCUCUCCACAUCUCAUUAGAGAUCACCUCCAAUUUUGAUUCUUGCAGGCAACAUCUUUUUUUCGUUCGUCAAAAUAUUUAAAAAAAACAUGGCAGUCGUCCUUCUCUCCGUUCUCCCUCUCAAGCUGUCAUCAACAGCUCCAACAAGUACAAGAAGCAAUAGCGGAAGAAUUGAAGUGGGUGGAUUAAUUUAUAAUUAAAAAAAAAAAA